AUGGCUUCCAUCGCCGGAUCUGCCGUGUCCUUCGCCAAGCCCGUCAAGUUUCUUGAAUUCCAGGCAAUCAACACGAACUCACUCUCUUUCUCUGGUGCAAGGAGGGGCAAUGCAUUUCUUCGCUUGCAGCCAGUGCCGAUGAGAUUUGCUGUUUGCUGCUCAGCAAAGCAGGAUACAGUGGAGAAGGUUUGUGAAAUUGUUAAGAAGCAGCUUGCUGUUCCUGAAGGCACUGAAGUUUGCGGUACCACCAAGUUUUCUGACCUUGGAGCUGAUUCACUGGACACGGUCGAGAUUGUGAUGGGCCUUGAGGAGGAGUUCCAGAUCAGCGUGGAGGAGACGAGCGCGCAGGCAAUUGCGACAGUUGAAGAUGCUGCCACGCUCAUUGACAAGCUUGUCUCUGCGAAGUCAUCUUGA
rnacentral:rRNA from 1 species